rnacentral:tRNA from 1 species
GGGCCCGUAGCUCAGUGGUAGAGCAGUGGACUUUUAAUCCAUCGGUCCAGGGUUCGAAUCCCUGCGGGCCCACCA